GACGAACGCUGGCGGCGUGCUUAACACAUGCAAGUCGAGCGGUAAGGCCCUUUCGGGGGUACGACGAGCGGCGAACGGGUGAGUAACACGUGGGUGACCUGCCCUCCAGCUCUGGGAUAAGCCUGGGAAACCGGGUCUAAUACUGGAUAUGACUCCAUGACGCAUGUUGUGGGGUGGAAAGCCUUGUGCGGCUGAGGAGUC
rnacentral:rRNA from 1 species